CAUUGCGAGGUGGAAUCUGAAAGAAGCUGGCGGCAAACAUCUGGUCUGACAAACAGAAACUCCAUAUAAGGCAUAUAACCGUGGGUAAGGUUGCUAAAAAAUAAAGUCAAUAGCUAUCUGGAACGGUUGGUGUAAAUGGAGCGGACAUAAGAUGAGAAAG
rnacentral:ncRNA from 1 species